AGGGGUGCCCAAAAAAGGAAAAAAAAAAUAAAAAGACUGUGUAGGAGUGUGUUGGGGGUGGGAAUGGCAGAGGAGGGUGUCCUGGGCCAGGGAGAAAUCAAAUCCACCUACUCCAGGCCAACUUCCUAAAUUCUACUCCUGGUCUACAAGCAUUACUGAGCUCCUUCAAUGGCACCACAUUGAGCUGGGACCUGGGAGAGGAGACAGGGCCACGAGCUCAUGGGGCUCGCCCUCAAGAGGCUUCCUGGGCCAGUGGGAAGACAAAACAGUCCUUGUUGCAGAGGAAUGAGAUCAAGUGCGGGGGGCUCCACUGUGUAUCUCUGGGGCAUCCAUCUCAUUUAACCCUCACUGCACCUCUACAAGCGGAUACUCUUAGCAUCCCCAGCCUACAGAGAGGAAACAGAGGUUUGGGAAAGAUCAGGAACUUGUCCUGGGUCAAGGACAAGUAAGGAGUGGAGACAGAAUCUUAACUCAGGGGUUGACUGUGGAGCCUGAGCCUCCAGCCACUGCACUCACUCCAGUUGGGGGUAGAGUCGCAGCUGUCAUAGACUUUAUUUGGGGAGCUGGCCAAGGUUUCUCGGGGAGAAAGAUGAAGGCCGAGGGGGCGCUGGAGAGGCUAAGGAAAAGGGAUUGGUCGCAGAGGUGGAAGGUCUGAUCUCAGCCCUGCCCUGGCCUCCUCCUCGGGAGAGUUGUCUUUGCUUGACCGCUGACCCUCUGCUGCCAGUGAAGCCUAGACAGUGGCUGUUUGUCCCACAAAUACCAGUGGAACACCUGCUAAAUGUAGGACCUGUCAGCCUGAGGAAGCAAGAGGGAGAGCAGGAUGCUGCAGAGCAGUUAUUCUCCCAACAGUUAGCAGCAUCCCCUGUGCUCUUUCUCCCUCUGACCUCCCACGUGUCCAAGAGGAGCCAACUUUCUUUUUAGCCACCCCUCCAAUUGCUUUGGCACAGCCCUCUCCUUGCCACCAUCUCUCCCAAGUCCCUCAAAGAUUCUGAGACACAUCUGUCUUCUUGCAUUUCCCACAGGACCAAGUCUAGCACUGAGUUCAAAACUAACUACUCAUUGAGUACUUGUGGGGGCUAAUUAGUCUCAGUUGGGGGAGGGGGGAGUAAUCUUGAGCUAUAGUCUGACCUUGAACCCGGACCAGAAAUUCCUUUAUCCAGGCAGUUUUCAAAAGGUGUUCUUGGCCCCAGAGUCCCUGUCAAAGAGUGACGUUGAUAGGGGUAGGGGGAUCACAGAGGAGUGUCCCAGUUUCAUGGGACCAAGACCUUUGGUUAGAAGGACACUGCUGAGCCUUUAAGGCCUCCUCCCUGUAUGCAAGGGGCGGAUCUCUGCAGCUGUCAGUCACCCCAAAUGAGCCAAUCAGCACAAGACAUCUGGAAGUGCACGCUGAACUAGGGGAUGAAUGGGAGGGCUCUGGCCAGGGUAAGGACAGGUGUCCUGCAGUACCAUGCACCUAAGGCUACUCCAGACUUGGAUGGUUGUGGCCGCUAAGGUACAGGAGAGCCUGACUCUGGGAAGAAAGGGACCCUGUGAGGUAUCACUGCCCUCAGGAGACUAGAGUGAGGGUAGCUCAGAAGUGAGAAAUGGGGCAGGACCUGGCAGCCCUGAGUGGGAACCAGCCAUGGGAGGUGGCCGGUGCUCGUUUGUGUUUUGUCUGGGGGGGAGAGGCAUUCUCGUUUCCUUUUUGCCCUUCCUUAGGAUUUACUAAGGCCCUCUGGGAAGUUUCAGCUGCCUCAGCUCUGGGCGUGUGUAUGCACGUGUGUCUCUUCUUGGGGAAUGAGGUGGCCCGAGGGGGAAGGGUUGGCUCAGGACCAGGAGGAGGGGGAUGCUGGAAGCCGGGUUUUUGCGAGGGAUGCUCUCCCCUCCCCUGGCACACCUUGUCCCAGUAGCUGGCGGCCCAGGGCUGAACUGGGACUAUUUCUUCCUUUUGAUUCUGGCAAAAGCUACAGGAGGGAGUUCCCCUUCUCUGUUUGUUUUGAUUCUGUUGUUUUCUUAAAGAGAGGAAGGAAAACCAUCAUCACUUUUUCGGUUUUGUGAACAAAGGCAGGCAGAGAGGAUGUUCGCUGGGGCAGGGGAUGUGGGGGCUGGGCCUCCCCUUCCCCUCCCCCUCCCCUUCCCUCCAGCAGCUCCACCCCCUCUUACCCCAGAACACAGACCAGGCCCCACAGUGUGGGGUCAAGGUUAGGUGCGGGCUCUGCCUUUUAAUAGCUUUGGACCGCUCGGAGGUGCAUCUGUGAAAAUGGGAGUUGUCAGAUCGGCUUGACAGGAUUGUUGAGGUUCAAAACAAAAGAAAAUACUAACCUGUAAAAACACAGGGACUGGCCCACAGCAAAUGCUCCAGAAAUGUCUUUCUUUUGCUUCCUUCCUUUGGGGAAGGGGGUCGGUCAGUCGGUCCGUCUCUCCCUUUGGCCUGGUUGUGUGGGUGGGGGGGAGCUUCCCCACUGAAAGCCCCCUCCCAUCUUCCUGUUAGUCUGUGUGAAGCUGCCUUCUGCCUCAGCAGGACCUGCAGUGCAGGCCUUGGGAAAGGCUCUGAGGAGAAAUAACAGGGAUCCCCCGGUGUGGUUCCCCAGUGCCAGUGUUGUCUGAUUCCAGUCUGGUGCUCCUUGGUUCCUGAGCCAGCCUGAGGAGUCUGAGCAUUCUGUCACUUGCGACCAAGCAGUGUUAAUACAGAGAAGUCACCACUGUGGGAAUGGAGAGGAGCUGGAUCCUGAAGUGGACGUGUCUGGACUUGGUGAGUAGUGCUUCUGUGGGGUGGGCAGCUGCGAAGGAAUCUAGUUUCCUUAUCUGGAAUCUGGAUGGGAUAUCCUGCCUAGGUGCUAGGCGGUGUAUCCCAGACAGGAAGUGAGGAGUAGGAGGGAUGUGAGAGAAGAGAUCCUGGAGCUUGAGGAUGAGGCGGGAAGGAGGGAGAUGAACUCAAGGCAGCUGGGGGCUGGGGGGAGAAAGAGCGCUUUGUAACAGGAACCAAUCUGGGUGAUGUGGUUCCAUCUGCCUCAAAUAUUGCUUGACGCUUUGUUAUACACCAGGCAGUGUACUGGUUAAUAAAACAGUUUGGGGAUGGGUAUUGUUAUCCUCAUCUUACAUGUAAAGAAAGGGUGAUACAGAGAAGUGAAACAGCUUGUACAAAAUCAGAAAAUCAGAGACCAAAAUUCAAACCUGGGUCUAACUGCUAUGCUGAUGCUCUUAAGAACCUAAACAGAUGCUCAGAUGAGGGAACAAAGUCUCUGCCUCAGUCCCUGAGUUUUUACAUAUUUCCAAUGAGUCCUUUAAGUAAAAUAUUCUCCCUGCAAGUACUUUGUGAGGCAAUGCAGUUGAGUAAUAGAAUCUGGGGGCCUGGUUCACUUUGUAAAUACCAAUUCUUUCAUCCUCUUCCCCUACCGGGGUCCAGUCAAAUGAGCACUAAUACAGACAGUUGGUUACCCACCCCGUGGCCCUUCCACUCCCCUUCUCUCAGCACCCACCUAGGUUGCUUUUAAGUGUUCAUGCUUAUCCUUCUGGGACCAGGGUUAGUACUGUGGCAUUAAUAGUGACAUUACCCCCCUUGCUUGGGAUAGAUUCAAGCAUGUGAUGCGACUCAAUUCUGGCCAAUGAGCAGUGAAGAAUAGAUUCCUAUUCGUUUAUAGGGGGCUUCUGAGAAAAACUUUCCUUGAUCUUAAAAUGGGACACAAUGAUGAGAUGUUUUCUGGGGUUUUAUUUAUUUAUUUAUUUAUUUAUUUAUUUGCUGCUGUGCGCAUUGUGUGGUGAUGUGAUGUCUGGGGUGGGCGCAACCAUCUUGCAACUGUGAGGCAAGCUAGCCAAGGACGAGGCGACGUGCUGAGAAUGGCAGAAGGGAAGGAAAAGAGGAAGUCUGGGUCACUCAUGAUGAUGCUGAGCUGCAGGAUUAACCUCUUCUGAAGCUAUUGUUCCUCUGGACUUCUUGUUCUCUGAGAUAAGACACUUUCCUUAUUGUCUAAGCCACCUGAAAGAAGUUCUCUGUUUCUGGCCACUGAAAAGACCUUUACCGAUGUAUGAGCCACGGGUUCAAAAGAAUGUACACCCAAUGUGCUAAUGUGAUAUGCCGACAGUUGGAACAACAGCAUUGGUUAAAGGGGAAAACCGGAUUCCUUGACCAAGGGAGGCACUGAAAAGUCCUUUCUCUGCUGGUUCAGUGGGGAGAGAGUGUGGCAGUCUGAGGCCCUGCACUCUGCAUCUCGUCCACGCAUGUGGGAGGCCUCCUAUCAGAGGAGAGGUCUGCUCCUGGCCAGCCGAACUUCUGACUCCCAUUUCCUGUAGGGUCAGCAGAGGAAAGCAGCUUUAUUUACUGAGUCAGGAUGGAAAACAGAUGUCUAAGCACCCCGCUGGGCCCGGGCUCACCCUGGACAGAGGCCGGGCCUGUUCUCAGCCCUGACCCGCCCACCAACCUCUUGUUCCCCAUAUCGAGUCCAGAUGUGGCUUCUUCCAAGCUCUAAUAAUAAUUUUGAUUUGUUGCAGCUAAAUAAACUACACCCCUCCCAGCUCAACCCUUCACUCGCUAACUCUCCAAGGAGUAUGGGAGCAAUGCUAUGAAACAUUUGUUAAGGAACCCCGGGUGGGGCAGAGAGGAAUGUGAAUUUGAGAAGCAGAGCAAUGUGGGUUCAGCCGCAGCCUGGUCUCAUAUUAACUGAGUGAUUUCAACCCUUGUAUCAGUCAUCAAUUGCUGUGUAACAAGCCACCACAAAAGUCAGUGGCUCAAAACCAGCAACUGUUCAUUUGCUCAUGGAUCUAAAGUUUGGGUGGGGCUUGGUGGGACAGCUCAUUCAUUCUCCACAUUGUGUUGUGUUUGGUAAGUGAAGUCAGAUGGGUCAAUGGAGCACAGGUGUGAGCAGAGGUCAGCAUUACCUCUGGGCCCAGCCAGCUCAUUGCUUUCCUGUUCCCAUAGAGAUAGUUCUUUUUCUUCUCAGUCCUUCCUUCCUCAUCAGUAAACUGAAGGCAGAGAAUGUCUGUAGAAUGUGUGCAUAGCAAGAGAAGCUGGAGUUCCUGUCGUGGCUCAGGGGCUAACGAAUCUGACUAGGAACCAUGAGGUUGCAGGCUCCAUCCCUGGCCUUGUUCAGUGGGUUAAGGACCUGGCAUUGCCGUGAGCUGUGGUGUAGGUUGCAGACGCAGCUCGGAUCCCACGUUGCUGUGGCUCUGGGGUGGGCUGGCGGCUAAAACUCCAAUUAGACCCCUAGCCUGGGAACCUCCAUAUGCUGCGGGAGCGGCCCAAGAAACGGCAAAAAG